AGAUGACAUAUGAUGUUGAUGAUUCUCUAUGCUGUCAGGUCGUCACGGUGACAGGUAUAGAUGACAUAUGAUGUUGAUGAUUCUCUAUGCUGUCAGGUCGUCACGGUGACAGGUAUAGAUGACAUAUGAUGUUGAUGAUUCUCUAUGCUGUCAGGUCGUCACGGUGACAGGUAUAGAUGACAUAUGAUGUUGAUGAUUCUCUAUGCUGUCAGGUCGUCACGGUGACAGGUAUAGAUGACAUAUGAUGUUGAUGAUUCUCUAUGCUGUCAGGUCGUCACGGUGACAGGUAUAGAUGACAUAUGAUGUUGAUGAUUCUCUAUGAUGUCAGGUCGUCACGGUGACAGGUAUAGAUGACAUAUGAUGUUUAUUAUUCUCUAUGCUGUCAGGUCGUCACGGUGACAGGUAUAGAUGACAUAUGAUGUUUAUGAUUCUCUUUGCUGUCAGGUCGUCACGGUGACAGGUAUAGAUGACAUAUGAUGUGUUUAUAGUUGUGAUGAUGUUUAUGAUUCUCUAUGCUGUCAGGUCGUCACGGUGACAGGUAUAGAUGACAUUUGAUGUGUUUAUAGUUGUGAUGAUGUUUAUGAAUCUCUUUGCUGUCAGGUCGUCACGGUGACAGGUAUAGAUGACAUA